UACGAAGGGGGCUAGCGUUGUUCGGAAUUACUGGGCGUAAAGGGCUCGUAGGCGGCCAACUAAGUCGGAUGUGAAAUCCCCAGGCUUAACCUGGGAACUGCAUCCGAUACUGGAUGGCUUGAAUCCGGGAGAGGGAUGCGGAAUUCCAGGUGUAGCGGUGAAAUGCGUAGAUAUCUGGAGGAACACCGGUGGCGAAGGCGGCAUCCUGGACCACGACUGACGCUGAGGAGCGAAAGCCAGGGGAGCAAACGGG
rnacentral:rRNA from 1 species